rnacentral:rRNA from 1 species
GAUGAACGCUGGCGGCGUGCCUAAUACAUGCAAGUCGAGCGAACGGACGAGAAGCUUGCUUCUCUGAUGUUAGCGGCGGACGGGUGAGUAACACGUGGAUAACCUACCUAUAAGACUGGGAUAACUUCGGGAAACCGGAGCUAAUACCGGAUAAUAUUUUGAACCGCAUGGUUCAAAAGUGAAAGACGGUCUUGCUGUCACUUAUAGAUGGAUCCGCGCUGCAUUAGCUAGUUGGUAAGGUAACGGCUUACCAAGGCAACGAUGCAUAGCCGACCUGAGAGGGUGAUCGGCCACACUGGAACUGAGACACGGUCCAGACUCCUACGGGAGGCAGCAGUAGGGAAUCUUCCGCAAAGGGCGAAAGCCUGACGGAGCAACGCCGCGUGAGUGAUGAAGGUCUUCGGAGCGUAAAACUCUGUUAUUAGGGAAGAACAUAUGUGUAAGUAACUGUGCACAUCUUGACGGUACCUAAUCAGAAAGCCACGGCUAACUACGUG